CCUGGGGCUCGGCCUGCAGGAAUUUACAGUCUGCGCUGGAGCAGCAGGGCCAGUAGCCAUGGAGACUGCUGCGCCGGGAGCAGCGAGCCUACAGAAAGAUGUAACGCGCCGAUUGCCAUCACGGACGCGCAGGGACCUUCGCUGGGACCAUAAAAGCAGGUUCGCUUUGGAGAUGACGGAUGCAGCACAGGGGAGCAGCUCGCGUAUAAGCUGGUAGCUCAUCUACACACCAGAUCCUUGCAGAGACACGAGGCACGGGAAACGCCCUCCCUCCCCAGCCCGGCCGGGAUCGCGGCCCUCGCUGAGCCUUUCUGCACCCGCUUGGUCAGUGCCGCUCACCACCAGCGGGUCCUGGGCCCACGGGCACGUGCAUGAAGCGCUGGGGUCCUCUCAAGCCAGGCAGGAGCCAACCCCUUCCAGAGGAAGGAGAAGACCACCAUAAGCUGAAGGACAGAUGCACGUGUGGCCUGUUAUGCCCAGCACAUCCAAGGUUCACGUUCACCUUCGCGCGUUGGCUGCAGAGGAGCCCAAAGCUACGAGAGGGAGCCUCUGCGUUGCCAAGGCCCAGAGCACGAGAUACGGCUGCUUCAGGCCCACCACAGCUAAAGGGCUUCUCCUGGUGGGGGUAACACUCUCCACCAUAGUCAAUGCAAUAUAUUUAGGUAAGAAACCGAGUGGAAAAGGACCAGAGCCUACAUGAUCACCCCAGUAACCCGAGUGCAUCCCUGCCGCGCUGCGCUGAAUCGAACCAGCAACGCGGAAACCUCCCUGGCACAACCACUGCUCCAGGACAGACCGGGAGGCGUCAGAGGUGCAGAAACGAUUAAAGCUGUAAGGAUAUAUAUACCUAAAUAGAUACAUAGAGAUAUCUCAGUGGUUUCCAAGCAGUUGUCACCGUGCUGCCCACCCUGGCCAGCCAGGAUUUCAUGGCAAUGGCUGACCUAAAGCUCAGUUCCUUUAACUGAAACACGACCUCGUGCCGUGCAGAGGCGUCGGCGGCAGGAUUUGUCGGCGGAGGCCGGCGGCGCGACACCACGAGCACGAGCACGCUAUCCCGUCCAGCGCCGCGGCCGAAGGAGAACAGCGCGGUCGCGGGAACGUCCUCGUUUCUCCAUCAGCCCCUUCCCCAACCUCCGAUCCGUUUGCAAUCCACGGUUGGAUUCGCCCUGCAAACCUGCCGUCCUCGUCCCCGAGGCAAGAUGGAAACUGUCCUCCUGUUCCCACCGCACAUGGGGCGUUCGGACCCCAUCCCACGGGCUUUUAUCAUCGUGACCAGGGGAAAACUAAGCAGCCUUUUUUUUUUCCUAACCUGUCUGCUAAAUCUGGAGACAGAGCUCAAGGCACGAGGGACAGGACCUUCAGCGAUGUUGAUUUAUAACCGAGGCUCCAAAUUACAGGUUUACGCAUUAGUAUAAACACCCAUAAACCAGCCUUAAACACACAGCGCCGCAUGCAAUCAAAACGCCGAAGCGGCGGGCAGCCUCGGGAGCGACCCUGGAUGCGGAGCAACGUCCUCGCGCGGGGCCGAGCGCGUCCCGCUUCCCCCCGGGCGGAUCUCGCCCCGAAGCCCGCUCCUCCGCCGGCGGCAGCCCCUCGCGCCCCGGGGAAAGCUCGGGAGCGGCAUCGCUGCCCCGGUGCCCUUCUGGGCGAAACCGCUCCGCUUCGGCCGCGCGCAGGGCCACGGGUCCGGUCCGUCGUGCUCCAGCGCCGCGGAGGCAGCGAGGAGCUGCCGACCAUGUUGAAACGGUUACGUGGGGAGUAAUGAAAAUUUACUGCACCCGGCUCGGCGCUCCAGCCAAGAAAUAAAAGCAGAGAUCACAACAGGCAUUUUUUUAAUUUGAAGCAAAAUUAAAAAAAAAAAAAACUGCACUUAGAAAACAACAACCACAUCCACAGAUCAAAGCAGCUGCUCUGCUCGCGCUCUGGGUUUUAAGAGGCUUCUGCAGCUACAGAGAUGUUUACACAGGGAGAGAGAUGCAUACAUUGUGCUGCCUCGAUGCUGCCCCCCCUUCCUCUGGCAAAGCGUUCCCGGGAGGCGACGUGAGGUCAUCCGCAGACCCCGCGCUGUUUUCCGCAAGCUGCAAGCCUUCGGGGCAAGAGGCAAUUCAUUUCCCAUUAGCAAACCCACAUUUGCACUUGGAAGCUUCCCAUGCGCAUCCCGCCAGGGGAACGCGGGGCGGCCGGCGAGGGCGGACCCGCUGCCGCCAGCGCGCGGUCGGGCGCCGGGGGGGCUCCGGGGAGGGUCGCCCGCGCCCGCCGAGAGGACACCCCCAGCUCUAGCGUGAAUUUAAUGUCAGACGCUGUAAAGGAGCGACGUCUUCAGCACUGCCCGUGCGUUUUUGCACCACGAUGGAGCCAGAAGGGAUUUCUCAGGCUGGGCAAGAAACCCGCUGCGAAGGAGCGGGCCGACGCCAGGCUCCCAUAAGGCGGCAAAGGAGCUUAGGGCUUGCAGAGCCGUCUGUUGAACGAGAGAGGGAUGUUAGGGGAGGAAGAGGGCAGGCGGUUAAGCCACAAUGCUGGGAAUUGGGGAAUUGGUCUUCUCCUGCAGUCCACGAGGACCAGUGGCCCGACACCAUGCGUUGCCCGCGGCGGGUAGGGACAGACCUCCCUGCUGCAGCCAGAGCCGGGCACUUUUGUUAAUUAACGCUGGUGAAGGAUCCCGACACUCCGUGCUGGAAGGAGCCGGCUUGAGAAAGCAGCAGGGAAAUGUCGAUGCCCCAGUGAGGGGCGGGGUAAAAAACUUGGAACAGAAGAGACUUUUUUAACAACCGAGAGGAAAACACUGUAUUCCCAGGAAUCUGCAAACAGCCCAGGCUUGAACAACGCAGAUGAACCAGGUCGCAAGUUCUCCAGCACAGCUCCAGUUUCCCCAACCUUCAGCUUUGUCACGACGCUUCCAAGGGGAGAAAAGCAUCGAGUCCCGCUAAACGGCUGUGACGCCCGUGACGCCUUUUUUCCAGUGUCCCAGCGCCUCCCCGAAACGCCGCGUGUGGCCGAGGCCCUUGUUUGCAAGCCCCGUUUUACGGCAGGAGAAGCUGACACACGCUGGGCUGAGGUGACUGGCCCAGCGUCACCGGGAAGGUCUCCGGCAGCGCCAGGAAUAGAAGCCGAGUCCCCGUUCCCAGCUAACCACUAACCACACUUAUCCCAGAAUAAGGGUCCCUUUUUCCAGUUGAAUUUAUACAGCUUUCAAAGUGACAUAAGCUCUUACAGAAAUAGGCACUCUUUUAUUCCAGAAUAAUCACUGGGAAGGCAUACCAGGAUACGCACCGUGGUGUAAUUACAGGGGGAGUUUCGCCCCGCGCAGCCGGCAGGCUCGCUGCGUGCUCCGCGCGGCUUUUAUCUCGCCGGGGCGCGUGUAGCUCGACUGACAGAUCAUCGGCAUGUGGGUGGAAAAGGAAGGGGCUUCGGGUAGUAAGGAAGGCAAUAUAUCACUCUUUAAAGCUCUGUUAAUAAUGUUUCCCAUAAAAGAUACCCAAAGAAUAGAAGAUCUUAAAGCUACUGAAGUCCAAGGAGUCGGCCAGGGCAUACCUGAUCGCACCCCAGGCAGUAAAGGGCCUGAUUCAGCAACGCUUUGUGCCUCUGCUCGGCUAAAGUGCAUAGCUUAGGAGCAGGUGUCUUGUUUUAAAUACAUUUUAUAUCCCACACAGGUUUAAAAAUAUAUAUAUAUUCAAGCUUUUGGUAGAGCAUCUGCUGAACUGAGGCCGAAAUGCACUUCUGAGUUCAGUUGUUAGCACAAGCCGUAUUUAACAACCUUCAAAAAUAAACUAAUAAUUUCAUCAGGUGCCGAUAUGGCUAUACCUGAGCCAGGAGGAGCGUCCCCCAAAACCAGCCCGGCGGCACCCAGCCCGGUGCUGCCUGCGGUGCAGCCGGGGCCGAUGUGCCACGGGACGGCAAGGGUUAACGCGGCUCCGGCGACACCACUUCAACUCCGGGACCCAGACACGUGUGCUUAAAAGUAGCACUUCUCUCCUUAAAAUAGUUUAUGAAUCCUAGCCGGGGAUAAAUCCAACACCCCCGAGCAGAAGGAGACCUAUUAAUUCCCAGGUUUUUUUUGCGCUGUAGUAAAGCGGCGAUUUUAUUUGCACGGGCUGCGUAAGAUGUCAGUCAUGUUCCCACUCGCAUUUCCAUCUACGCUUUAACAAGGCAUUAGGUUAUUUCCAGAAGCCCCGGCCAGACCCAAGCCCACUGCGUCAAUAUUUUGUCGCUUACACAAAUGUCACCGUUAGAGUCAACACCACGUUUUAGUAUUUUUUUUUUUGUUUCUUUUAAAACACAUGGUUCCUCCGGGCUGAGGCACGUAUAGCCCUUAAGGUAACAGCGGUAACGUGAGCCCCUCGGACGGGCUCACCUGGGCGCGCAGGCGUCGCUUUAAAGGGCGAACGCCACCACUGCAGGGCACCGACCUGACCAAAGGCAUCUGCUAAUUAAUUCAUUCUUCCAAGAGACUUAACUGCCUCUUGCCGUCGGAAACCCAGGCAAAGCCGAGCCAAGUCCAGAGGCUCUCGGAAAACACGGCGAGACCCUUGCUGGCUGCAGGAGCGGCAGAGCGGGGAGCCGCCGCGAGGCAGAGGUCCAAUUUCGGCUGGCCGCGCCGCUUUCCCGCGCCCGCUUCCUCGGUGCCGCUUUGGAAAUGAAGCGGAAGCCGGUCCGGCCGGGCGAGCCGAGGCCCCACGCCCGUGGUGGUCCACGUCCUCUCCCACGGCGCGGUUUUGGGGUCUUUCUCCUACUUUGCAGCACCCGAGCGCAGGGGACAAGCCCGCUACAGACCUUCCUGUUGAUUUUGGCACUCUCUCCCCCGAAACCCUCCGAGGUUUCCUGGUCCGGCACACGCUCAGCGUAGCGGGUUCGCUCCUCCGCCGCCUGCCCGUAGCCGCUCUCCUGAGCGCGGCCCCCGAGCCAGGGGCUGCCGACAUCGCCCCAAGACCGGAGCGACGCGAGAGCUGUGAUAAAACCCCGCGCCGGGCUCCCCAGCCCUGCUCAGCGCGAGCCGGGGGGACAAGAAGUCGUCAGGAAUAACCUUCCCGCGUCAACGCCCGCAGGGAAAGCCCUGCAGGAUCUCCUCGCUGUCCUGCAUCGGAGCAGCUUUGCACGAGAACAGAGCGGCCUUGGUGCGUCAACAACACCUAAACGCCCCAGGGCUGCUGCAAGUGAGAUGCCACUAUUAUUUUUUUUAAUUUAAAACGCACUUCUUAAGCUACAGGAAAGUAAACGUUCUUCUAGGAUGGCCAAGAAAACCACGCGGGGAUUUUCCAAAUGGGUAUGACUGACUGUUUAUGAGCGGAGGGCUCCAAACGCAGAAAUAAAUGGCUCGCUCUCAGCAGGUUUUCCUUUCUAUAUUUACCCUCACCUAAAACGAGCAUUAAUGCACACUGCAACGUUUAUUCCCUCUGAUCAGGGGAGCGGGCGAAGAAACUCGCCAGCCACAACACGUCAAAUAAAUUGUUAAUCUGCUGUUUGCGUUGGGCCUGGGGGGAGGAGGGAGUCCCGGAGUUUUGGGCAGUGCCCAGGUCCAGGCUACAACUUCCAUUUCAGCUCUGCAAAAGCGCUUCGUCCCCCCCCGCAGUUUGCGGUUGCUGGGAAUCAGGAGCCGGGUCCUCCGUGGAGCCGGUCCGUCGGUCCCCGCUGCGUCUCCGGCCCCCUCCCCGAAGCAGCUCGCGGCAGCCCCGGAAAAGGGCCGGAUCCCCCUCGCGCAGCGGGAACCGAGCUCCGCAAGACGCAAGGACUUGCCCGGCGUUGCACAAGAGGCCUCGUGCAAGGCGAGGAGCUGCAACGGGCUUCGCAACCCCGGCUUCCAGGGUGUCAUCCGCCCGCUUGUCCCCGCGGGCAAUCCCUCCGAGGGACGGAUCCUCGGCACGGCCCGCCGACGCGCAAAACACCCCCACGAGACCCAGGCGGCCCUUCCCGACAAGGGGCCGAGGUGUCGCAAAGCGAAUCGCAGCGCAAGGCUGGCCACCCAGCUGCAAAGCCUCCUCCCGUAAUCCCAGCCCUGGGGGACGGGGAGGAAAAAAAGAAAAAUCACCUGAUUCUCCUAGACGUCUUCCGCAUCACGCGGCUCGCUCAGCCGCGCUCGCGCCGCUCCCCCAGCUCAAAUCUGGGCUUGACCUCCGAUUUACCUUGGGGUUUGCCGGCUGAUCGUGCCAACCGCUCGGGCGCGGCGGGCAGAGGGGCUUCGCGUUGCACCGACGCGGGGAGGACGGAGGGAUGAAACCUCCGUCGGCACCGGGGGCAGUCGGACCGACCUGCACACCCGGGCGCCGAGGACAGUGCUGGGAAGCGCCCGUGGGCUCCGGGAUGCGAAACGCUGCCCGCCCGAGCCGGGAUGGGAACAGCAUCGCAAAGGCAGGCACAACCUUGCGUUUCUUCAACUCAGGCUUUUCCCUUUUGGAAAAGCCUGUCCUCAUCAUAAUAGCUGAGUGAACCUUUCCCUGGCCCGAAAUUUCAAGAGCAUUUGUGUUAAUCCAGAUUAAUGAACAUAAAGCAAUUUAGAUAAACCGCAUUAAGCCAAAACGC